AAAAGGAUGUGGCGUUGCCCAGACAACUAGGAUGUUGGCUUAGAAGCAGCCAUCAUUUAAAGAGUGCGUAAUAGCUCACUAGUCGAGUGACACUGCGCCGAAAAUGUACCGGGGCUAAACAUAUUACCGAAGCUGUGGAUUGUCCUUUGGACAAUGGUAGGAGAGCGUUCUAAGGGCGUUGAAGCAUGAUCGUAAGGACAUGUGGAGCGCUUAGAAGUGAGAAUGCCGGUGUGAGUAGCGAAAGACGGGUGAGAAUCCCGUCCACCGAUUGACUAAGGUUUCCAGAGGAAGGCUCGUCCGCUCUGGGUUAGUCGGGUCCUAAGCUGAGGCCGACAGGCGUAGGCGAUGGAUAACAGGUUGAUAUUCCUGUACCACCUAUAAUCGUUUUAAUCGAUGGGGGGACGCAGUAGGAUAGGCGAAGCGUGCGAUUGGAUUGCACGUCUAAGCAGUAAGGCUGAGUAUUAGGCA
rnacentral:rRNA from 1 species